rnacentral:pre_miRNA from 1 species
CAACUACUCCCUCCGUUCCCAAUUACUUGUCUUAGAUUUGUCUAGAUAUAGAUGUAUCUAGACUUAUUUUAGUGCUAGAUACCUCCGUAUCUAGACAAAUCUAAGACAAGUAAUUUGGAACGGAGGGAGUACGUG